UGUCUGUAACCUCACACAGACAUACAAUGGGUCAAAACACUAAUGUACAUAAAAUACAAAUAAACAAGUUAUUGUUAAAAAAGACAACGAGACUGACCCUACAGAGUGAGUUCCAGGACAGGACAGCCAGGAAUGUUAAACAGAGAAACUCUGUCUGGAAAAAAAAAAAAAGACCAUGAGGCAAAGAUGGUGCUGACCUUUAAUCUCAGCAGAGGCGGGUGGAUCUCUGAGUUCCAGGACAGCCAAGGCUACACAGAGAAGCCCGGCCUCGAAAAAACAAACACCAACAACAAACAGACAACGACGCAAACCGCAAUGCUCUCUGUGACUUUGAGGCCAGCCUGGUCCGCGGAGCGGCUACAUAUUUCGGCAAACACUCAAGAUAAAGAGGAGGAAGAAAAAACUAAAAACCUUUGACUCAGUGGGGAGGAGAUCAGGUGUGUGUGGAGGGGGCCCUGCUCGGAGUCCUAAACCUCUACUCCAGACCACAUCCGGCUCCGUGACCCGCACACCCUCGUCUACUGUGAAUCACGCUUGCUUUUCUUUUCUGAGAAAUGGUGGCUGUUAGGUGGCUCAGUGAGUGACAGUGAGACCCGGUGACACCCAGGGAGUACAAGGCGAGGCAGUCGGGAGCACACCUCUCCCACCUCUCCCGCUAGUGAAUAGACACCCCAGGUCACGGGGCGCGUUGCUUUGGGGGUCCCUGAGUGUGCGUCUGCUCCCAGAUAUCCGAGGGGCUGGUCCUAUCUGGCAGUGAGUCCCAUCUGUUCUUUCUUUUCUCCUCUGUUCUGGGCGCUGGCUGUCCCAGCCCCACCUCCUCCCGUGCGUGCGUCAGCACCAGCUGAGGUCACCCGCUUGCUUGGCCGCAACCCUGCCUUGGUUCCGCUGGCACGGAUGACUCAGCGGUGGGCGAGCCCAGCCCUGCGUGGUUCCUGGCUUCGGGGUCCUUCUCGCCUUGGAGGUGGGGAUGACUUGGAACCGCAGGUCCCUUGCGCCCUCUGAAGACUGGUUUCUCCGCGCGAUGCCAGUGCUGACCCCGAAGACGGAAGGGGAGAGUGCGGACUGGCUCCGAGGAUGCGGGUAGCGAGAGGCUAGCAGCUGGGCAGCUCCGCCCUCCAUCGUAGUGGCUCAGACACUGGACUUGGCCUGCGAGUGCAAGCUGGGUAUCUCAGUGGGCAGGUUUCCCACGCCCAGCAGAGCACACUCCCACGGGGCCCCGCCCAGGUCACGCCUCCCCCCGCACCCCCAGGGAGGGCAAUCGCAGGGUCAGAGUGUCCCUUCUGAGCGUCCUGCAGAAACUCCAGCCACCCCUCCGCCCACCUGCUUUUGUGCGCAAGCCGCUGCAGCAGGUGGACAGCGGCGAGGCACAGUACGUUCAGAUCAGCAGCUUUCCGCCCUUUUGUCCGGCCCCGACCCGCCCCCUAGUCAGGCGCCGAGCCCAGCCUCCGGAGGGUGGAAGCCAGCCCUGACCCAGACUAGCUCUGCAGGCUACUCCCUGCAAGCCAGCUGCCAGAGCGGGAGGUGUGGUGGCGAGGCUAACCUGUCCUGUCCCCUGCAGCCCUCUCAGUCUAUCUGGGGUCACCAGAGCUGAUGAACCGGGAGGGAAUGGAGAACGGGAUUCCUGCCCCUCCCGGAGCUCCAAUCCCUGCAGCGUGAGGUCAGGGUGGGGGCUGAAACGGAAUCCGCCCCAUUUUCUUGGUUGCCCGGGCCCUGCCCACCUCUGCCUCCUUCUCCAGGGCUGGGGAACCCCUCCCCCUCCCUCCACCUGAGGACGGGGCUUCUGAGGCUACUCACUGGGUGUAACUUGGAAGCCUCAGGUCGCCGGCCUAUGGUGGGGGGCAGUCAGUUAACUUAGGGGCGGAGGUUGGAAGCCAAGCAAGCAGUGGUCAGAAGCCGAGGCUCAGUGAGCAACGAUGGAGCUGAAGGCUGAACCACACAAGAGCCCCAUCGAGAGAGAAUGGGGACACACAGACCUCACUGUGGGGCCCAGUUUGCAGCUGAGCCUGAAGCAGGCUCAGACAAAUGAGUUAAGUCAGAGCGCUGAGAGUAGGAACUGCGGUGUGUGUGUGUGUGUGUGUGUGUGUCAGCUUUAGGAUGUGCUGGGCUCUGGGGAGGUGUCUCGGCACACUCUCCCAACACCACUCACCACCACACCACAGGCCACAUCAGCACAGCGACGACGAGACGCCUGGGCUAAUUUGUGGCCCCGAAAGGAGCAAGGCCCUUGGGGGAGAGCCAUCGUCUCUCUUUCCCGAGACAGGGUUUCUCUGUGUAGCCUUGCCUGUCUUGGAACUCACUGUGUGGGCCAGGCUGGCCUUGAACUCACCGAGAUAGGCCCUGCCUGUGCUGCUGGAGUGAUGGCAUCAAGGGGUGGGCCACCACACCCGUGCAGCGUGUGUGUGUGUGUGUGUGUGUGUGUGUGUGUGUGUGUGUGUAUGAAUUAGUCUCCUUGGGGCCUCAGCUGGCCAGGAGUGAGUGUAUCCUUGAGAGCAGGCCAAGGCACAGGCGGGCAGUCCUGUCUAUGUCUAGCCUCGGGUCUGACACGUGGGGUCACUGAGUGAAAAGGGACUACCCGGGGGCAUCUUGGAGCAGUUGUGCACUGGGCAGAUGCCUUCCCUGGAGGGGGAGGGGCAGGCUCGCAGUUGGCCAACAUGCUGUUUCGUGUGGUGGGGGUCCGUGAUGCCCUGCAGAUCCUUGACCUCCACGGCUGCCGCGCGUGCGUGCGCCCCGAGUUCUGGCUCACUGCUCUGCCACCGGAGACUGCCCGGGUCUCACGCUCAGUUUUAGAGCCUCCUUCAGCGACAGGGCCAGGCCUGUGCGUCCUGGCGCUGGACGGACAAGCAACACCCACUUGCAUUUGGUGCGUUUGGUGCGUCUGCAGAGGCCUAGGACAAGGAAGUGAGCAGCGUGGCGGUGUUUAGGUUUGCAUUUCCUCGGGCUCUGACGUUCUGCUUUUUAUUACGGUUUUUGGACUUAGAGACCCGGCUCAAAGACAGCAGAGGAGUUCGCCCAUUACCAUUUAAGGUCAGCAUCCUACCGCGCGGCAGCCCGCCCUCACCUGAAAGGUUAACCUUGGUACUUACAUUCCAAACCUGACCUGAAUCUCACGGCUUAUUCGGUCUCUUCUGCUUCAGGGUUAGGCUGACAUCCCCGAUGGCAGAAAUAGCAGAGACCGAGCAUGGAGGCCCAGGGCCAAAUUUCUUGUUCCGUUUGCCUAACAAGGCAGCCUGUUAGGAGGAAGCGUACAGUACCCAAGGUGGGUGGAGCACUGCUGGAGGACCGAGGUACCAGGCACAGAGGUGACCACAAGUUCAAGGAGUAUCCAAAAUGUCCGCGGGGAGAAGGGACUGACAGGUUGCAAAACAAAACAAAACAAAAGACACAUGGGAGGGCUUCAGGGUGGGGGCAGCAUGCAUUAAAUCUCCUAACUCCUCGCCCCUUGGAACUGCUGUUUUUUUUUCAUCCAUGAAAACGACCAGACUGUGAAAUAAGCAUCGAGGUCACAAUAAAAAACUGACCAAAGCCAGCACAGGAAAAAAAAGAAAAAAGAAAAAUUCCUGUCAUUUCUCUAGCCUGAGUCUCUCUUUACAACGAGAGGACACGCCCACUUCUGGCCGCUCAGCAAUCGCUGCCCCAGCUGGCCUGCAGGCUCACACGGAAGGCAGGCGUUCUCCAGUCCAGCUCCGAGAGGGGUGGGGCCGCCAACUUCCGCAGCAGUCGAGCUGGGCCGGGACCUGACCUUGGGUGAGGCCUCACGCAGUCCGGUUGCAAAGCAGAAAAGACAAAAAAAAAAAAAAAAAUCACAGCGCGCGCGCACA